rnacentral:lncRNA from 1 species
UUGAAAAACUCAACACAAGGUUGGAAUUAAGUUUAAUUCUCGGCGAUUUGGUGUUCGUUUUUCUAUGGUCGUUCUUCUAUCCAUGGAAAGCCUUUCAAUCGGCUCCAAACUAGGGUGUCGGCAGCAUCUUCGGUAACCCCAUGCGGAGAGUUGUUUACCGUGCGGGAAGGGUGCCGCCAACACAAGUUUACCGUGCGGGAAGGGUGUAGCUCGGUGUAUGUUCACCGAUUGAGAGAGAGGAGAGAGAGGGGGGUGAUUGGUUGGUAAUGUGGGUCCAUUAUUUUUCCACCAAUCAUAUUUUUUCUUCUUUUUUUUUAUAAAAAAUAAUUGUGUGAGUGGAGUGAUGCCAUCAAAUUGAGAGUGUGAGGGGAGUUAAGAGGAGAGUUGACAUGACAAGUACUGAUUGGGUGUGUGUAAGAGAGGGGACUCCCCUCUUAGGAGAGUGCCCCGCUCACCCUAACACAUGGUAAUAAAAAGUCAAACUAUGUUAAAAAAAUCAAAUAAAAAGUCAAAUGAAAGUUCUUCUUCUUACUCCUACGUUGAAGCCCUCCGUAAAAUAAAUGAUACUUAUUUUGGAGAUGGGUUUAACUCAUUUAGGUGAAAGGACAGCUACCACUUAGCGUAUAGCCUAGUGGUUAAGACGAAUGAUCUCUUACGAGGAGAAAAAUGUUCAAUCCUUAAAAGUUGUAAGUAUUUAAAAGAAAAAAUUAACCGUUCUAAAAAAAGUGAAAGGACGGCUAAAAAGUAAAAACCUUUUGUUUUACAAUUUAAACAUACUAUUUACAUUAAAUCAAUUAAAAAUGUAUGUACAUUUAAGCAUAUUAAUUUUGUUAAAUAGCAAUAAAGUGUAAUAAUAUAGAAAUCAUAACUUAAAUAAACAUGCUUGUGUGGACCUCAUGGGGUUUCCUCUCUGGUUGAUUUAAGGGAAAACGGGUUUAUAGUUGGACAAGCAGCAAGAAAGGCAGAAUUGAAGAAAGUUGAUAAACACAGUAAAGCUUGUGCAGAGAACCAGCAUGUUUUUUGUCCAUUUUGCCUUUGAUACAUUUGGCUCUCUAGCGACAGAAGCUAUCCACUUCCUGAUCAGGAUCCAACGGGCCAUCCACGGUAGUUGUUCAGCCUCAGGAGGGUUUUGUCUUUGGUAGAUUAGGGUUUUCAAUUCAGAAAGGGUGGCGGCGCAGCUUGUUGCCCGUCUACCUUUCGUUUUGAUAUAACUUGGCAAAUAUGAAUCAAUCAAAACCCUAAUAAUAAUUUAA